GAUGAACGCUGGCGGCGUGCCUAAUACAUGCAAGUCGAGCGAACAGAUGAGGAGCUUGCUCCUCUGACGUUAGCGGCGGACGGGUGAGUAACACGUGGAUAACCUACCUAUAAGACUGGGAUAACUUCGGGAAACCGGAGCUAAUACCGGAUAAUAUAUUGAACCGCAUGGUUCAAUAGUGAAAGACGGUUUUGCUGUCACUUAUAGAUGGAUCCGCGCCGCAUUAGCUAGUUGGUAAGGUAACGGCUUACCAAGGCAACGAUGCGUAGCCGACCUGAGAGGGUGAUCGGCCACACUGGAACUGAGACACGGUCCAGACUCCUACGGGAGGCAGCAGUAGGGAAUCUUCCGCAAUGGGCGAAAGCCUGACGGAGCAACGCCGCGUGAGUGAUGAAGGUCUUCGGAUCGUAAAACUCUGUUAUUGGGGAGGAACAAAUGUGUAAGUAACUAUGCACGUCUUGACGGUACCUAAUCAGAAAGCCACGGCUAACUACGUG
rnacentral:rRNA from 1 species